CAAGGAAUUUUCGUCAAUGGGGGCAACCCUGAACGAGCAACGCCGCGUGGUGGAUGACGGCCUUCGGGUUGUAAACACCUUUUGGGGGGGAAGAAUUUGACGGUACCCCCUGAAUAAGGCUCGGCUAACUCUGUGCCAGCAGCCGCGGUAAGACAGAGGAGCCAAGCGUUGUCCGGACUGACUGGGCGUAAAGCGCACGCAGGCGGCCUGGCGCGUGGGGUGUGAAAGCUCUUGGCUUAACUGAGAGAGGCCAUCCCAUACGGCCGGGCUCGAGCGAUGCAGAGGUCCGCGGAAUUGCCGGUGUAGUGGUGAAAUGCGUAGAGAUCGGCAGGAACACCCAGGGGGAAACCAGCGGACUGGGCAUCGGCUGACGCUCAGGUGCGACAGCGUGGGGAGCGAACCGG
rnacentral:rRNA from 1 species